AUUGAACGCUGGCGGAAUGCUUUACACAUGCAAGUCGAACGGCAGCACGGACUUCGGUCUGGUGGCGAGUGGCGAACGGGUGAGUAAUGUAUCGGAACGUGCCCAGUCGUGGGGGAUAACGUAGUGAAAAUUACGCUAAUACCGCAUACGAUCUAUGGAUGAAAGCGGGGGAUCGCAAGACCUCGCGCGAUUGGAGCGGCCGAUAUCAGAUUAGGUAGUUGGUGGGGUAAAGGCCCACCAAGCCAACGAUCUGUAGCUGGUCGGAGAGGACGACCAGCCACACUGGAACUGGGCAACGGUCCAGACUCCUACGGGAGGCAGCAGUGGGGAAUUUUGGACAAUUGGCGAAAGCCUGAUCCAGCCAUUCCGCGUGCAGGAUGAAGGCCCUCGGGUUGUAAACUGCUUUUGUACAGAACGAAAAGGUUUCUACUAAUACUAGGAGCUCAUGACGGUACUGUAAGAAUAAGCACCGGCUAACUACGUGCCAGCCGCCGCAGUAA
rnacentral:rRNA from 1 species